rnacentral:rRNA from 1 species
UACGUAGGGUGCGAGCGUUAAUCGGAAUUACUGGGCGUAAAGCGUGCGCAGGCGGUUCGUUGUGUCGGCGGUGAAAGCCCCGGGCUCAACCUGGGAAUGGCCGUUGAAACUGGCGAACUGGAGUGUGGCAGAGGGGGGUGGAAUUCCGCGUGUAGCAGUGAAAUGCGUAGAGAUCGGGAGGAACAUCAGUUGCGAAGGCGGCUCUCUGGACCAGCACUGACACUGAGGCACGAAAGCGUGGGGAGCAAACAGG